rnacentral:rRNA from 1 species
UCGAGAAUCUUUCGCAAUGGGCGAAAGCCUGACGAAGCGACGCCGUGUGUGUGAUGAAGGCCUUCGGGUUGUAAAGCACUUUCGCUUGGGAACGCGUACCAGGUAAAGAAGCACCGGCUAACUCCGUGCCAGCAGCUGCGGUAAUACGGAGGGUGCAAGCGUUAAUCGGAUUUAUUGGGCGUAAAGGGCGCGUAGGCUGAGAAGCAAGUUAGAUGUGAAGGACCGAAGCUCAACUUCGGAAACGCAUUUAAAACAUUUUUCUAGAGGGUAGCGGAGAAAAGGGAUUCCACGUGUAGCGGUGAAAUGCGUAGAUAUGUGGAAGAACACCGGUGGCGAAGGCGCUUUUUCAGCUUAUUCCUGACGCUGAGGCGCGAAAGCAAGGGGAGCAAACAGGAUUAGA